UUAUUAUUAUGAUUAAUAACGUAUAUUCCGAAAAUUUAGCUAAGUCAAUAGAGGUACACUCUAAAAGUAUUGUAGAAGCUAACGUAAUUGAAGUGAACACAGAAGAUCAAUUUAAAAAACAUCGAAUAAAGGAGAUGAAUGACCGUGUAAUACAUAAGAUUGAGUUAUAUUCUUAAUUAUAAUCAAGGUUAAA